AAUGGCUCUGGAGGGCAGCUCCGGAGAUACCUCUGAGGAAAGUCCUCGGGCACGUGGUAGGAAUACAAACGUAAAGGUAGGCAUCUAUGCCAUUUCGCCAUUUAGAUAGUAAUGCUGCCAGAGUAUCGAUCUACUCUAACAGAAUGAGGCUUACUCCAGAGCUCU
rnacentral:RNase_MRP_RNA from 2 species